CGCCUGGGGAGUACGGCCGCAAGGUUAAAACUCAAAUGAAUAGACGGGGGCCCGCACAAGCGGUGGAGCAUGUGGUUUAAUUCGACGCAACGCGAAGAACCUUACCUGGCCUUGACAUCCAGAGAGCUUUCCAGAGAUGGAUUGGUGCCUUCGGGAACUCUGAGACAGGUGCUGCAUGGCCGUCGUCAGCUCGUGUCGUGAGAUGUUGGGUUAAGUCCCGUAACGAGCGCAACCCCUAUCCCUGGUUGCUAGCAGGUAAUGCUGAGAACUCCAGGGAGACUGCCGGUGACAAACCGGAGGAAGGUGGGGAUGACGUCAGGUCAUCAUGGCCCUUACGGCCAGGGCUACACACGUGCUACAAUGGCGCGUACAGAGGGCUGCCAACUCGCGAGAGUGAGCCAAUCCCUUAAAACGCGUCGUAGUCCGGAUCGGAGUCUGCAACUCGACUCCGUGAAGUCGGAAUCGCUAGUAAUCGCGAAUCAGAAUGCCGCGGUGAAUACGUUCCCGGGCCUUGUACACACCGCCCGUCACACCAUGGGAGUGGAUUGCACCAGAAGUAGUUAGUCUAACCUUCGGGAGGACGAUUACCACGGUGUGGUUCAUGACUGGGGUGAAGUCGUAACAAGGUAACCGUA
rnacentral:rRNA from 1 species